GAGCAGAAACGUCAGAAUAUAUAUAUGAAAGUAGAAUAUAUUCGUGCUCAAUGUAUGGUGUGGCUAUAACGAAUUCAUAUAACCUCAAUCGCUUAUAACUUAUAAGGAAACAAGAAAGAAAAAAUUAAAUGGAAUAUAUUAUUGAUGAAUUAUGUAGAGGCAUACCACUUUGUUGUAUUUAACUGUCUUCUCAGAAAUAUACAUUAAACAGAAAAACAGAGAUGAUGAAUAGAAUAUCGAUGUUGUGGAUUCUUUCACUGUUGCAAUUGCUUAAGCCUGCUUAAAAUUUUGGACUAUUCGUUUAGAAUACCCAGAUUCAGAUGCGAUAAUGCCCAGAGGAAAUGGAUUUUUAAUGACCAUUGUGAUACUACCAAUACUAAUAAUCGGAUUGAUACGCCAGACUGACGACUAUCUUGAAACAAUCUAGUCAAAGACUGUCAAAUUUAUCUUACUGAUUGUGAAAAUAGUUUUUGACCAAAUAGAAAGACCAUGGGCAUUAGAGAUUAUCGAUUGUCAUAUAAGUCCAAAUCGAUGACAAUCACAAUCAAAGACAAACGAAGAUAUUUUAAUACUUGCAGAAAUAACUCAGUCGUGAAUAUUGAUUUGCUAAGUUAUGAUGACAAAAUCUUGGAACUUAUACAACUUGUAUACUUAAUAACCUGUAUACUUAAGUAUACAUACUUUGGAGCAAAAUAAUUGUUUGGGAUGGUAACAGGAUUGUCCCUGUACUUCCGAGAUAAUAAGACAAGUUCUGAUACAUAUAUUAAUAGAAGUAUGAAUUUAUGCUGAUUUCCAAAUGCUGAAAUCUUUAAACAAUAUGAAUAUAGGAAAUUCCAAGAAUCCAGAACGAUGUGUCUAUCCAGAUUUUUCAUGUCUGCAAUGGAUUAUGCUGUGCAUUUUUUGAGCUUAGAACUUACGAUGGAUCGCCUACAAUGCAGACUGUAGGAGUACCUUUAACUGGAACUAACCUACAAAGUACAAUUAAGGAAGAUGAAAUAUCUGAGCAUGAACAUUAUAAUGAAAUAGAAUAAGUUUUAAAUACAUUUUAAUUAUAUUUUGAUAAAUAUACUUUAAGGCAAAUUAAAGUUGUCUGUGC